UACGAAGGGGGCUAGCGUUGCUCGGAAUCACUGGGCGUAAAGCGCACGUAGGCGGACUCUUAAGUCAGGGGUGAAAUCCUGGAGCUCAACUCCAGAACUGCCUUUGAUACUGAGGAUCUUGAGUUCGGGAGAGGUGAGUGGAACUGCGAGUGUAGAGGUGAAAUUCGUAGAUAUUCGCAAGAACACCAGUGGCGAAGGCGGCUCACUGGCCCGAUACUGACGCUGAGGCACGAAAGCGUGGGGAGCAAACAGGGAUUAGAUACCUU
rnacentral:rRNA from 1 species